GUGUUUUAUACCCUUACAAUCAUUUCAAUGAUGUGUAUUUCAAUCUGUGUAUGAUUUACAUAUAAGUUUAAUCGUACAAUUUUAACCUCUAGUGACUGACUUCCUGUUAUAUUAUGUUUAACUAGUGCUGAGAGAUCUGGUCAGAAUUUGAGGCCAGUUUCUUAACUCAUUGCUAAUCAAAAAGGAAUCUAUUAACAAUGCUUGAUAAAAAAUGAGACACUGGCAGCUAUUAACAUUGGAAGACUGGACCAUGCUUCCUAUUUAAGCAAAUCUGUUUCUGGAAGAAGUGGUGAAUGCGCACCACUACCAAUCUCAAACUUGA